rnacentral:rRNA from 1 species
GACGAACGCUGGCGGCGUGCUUAACACAUGCAAGUCGAACGAAGAGCGACGGAAGCUUGCUUCUAUCAAUCUUAGUGGCGAACGGGUGAGUAACGCGUAAUCAACCUGCCCUUCAGAGGGGGACAACAGUUGGAAACGACUGCUAAUACCGCAUACGAUCUAACCUCGGCAUCGAGGAUAGAUGAAAGGUGGCCUCUACAUGUAAGCUAUCACUGAAGGAGGGGAUUGCGUCUGAUUAGCUAGUUGGAGGGGUAACGGCCCACCAAGGCGAGGAUCAGUAGCCGGUCUGAGAGGAUGAACGGCCACAGUGGGACUGAGACACGGCCCAGACUCCUACGGGAGGCAGCAGUGGGGAAUCUUCCGCAAUGGACGAAAGUCUGACGGAGCAACGCCGCGUGAGUGAUGACGGCCUUCGGGUUGUAAAGCUCUGUUAAUCGGGACGAAAGGCCUUCUUGCGAAUAGUGAGAAGGAUUGACGGUACCGGAAUAGAAAGCCACGGCUAACUACGUG